rnacentral:lncRNA from 1 species
CUUGCUGAAUUGACAGAGGAUCCUCAAACUGCUAACUAUGAUGCCAAAGUUGCCGGUGAUGGACCUUCCCAAUGUGAUAGAGGAUUGGCAUCAGCACAAAUUGUUAACCCUGAAGUUACUGCUCUUAACCGUCAAAUCCUUUUGCUUAGUGAAUUUGCAUUCCUAGCCACAAGUCAACUUUCUUCUAAUUAAAUUGCAUUCUUUGUAUGCAUAUAUAACAUGGUGGUUAUUUUGGGCAUGGCUAAUUUGUUAUGUUCUUUGGGGUCUCCUUAAUUUGGUGUGUUGAUGUAUAUAUAUGGAGGGAGAGUCAAUAAUAAAAUAUAAUAGCAAUUUAUUGCUAUUUUAUGUGUUCCGCAUAUUAAAUAUUUACUUCUUUCUUUCUUUUUUAUUAUUAUUUUAUGUGUUCCCACGUAUUAAAGAUUUUGAAGGAGGCUGUCAAAUAAAUGCUAAAAAUAUUCUAAAAUGAGCUUAACAAUAAUCGGAAUAAAAGGUCAUUUUUAUUAUGAUUUUCAGCACGAAUACAAACCAUGAAAACGUAACUUAUAAUCCUUAGAUUAUGAAUAAUAAUUUAAUAGUAAUUUCAUGCCGUUUCAAUUGCAACUUUAAAAUUAAUUUUAGAUAUUAAAUAGUUAAAUAUGACAUUUGACAAGAUAAGUGUUAUGAGUAAUAUUUAAUAGAAUAAUGAAUUUUUGAAAUAUUUAUAAUUUCAAACACCUAGCGAUGAAUCGGGUAUUAGAUCCUGUUGAAGUGGUUAAUUUAAUUAUAGUUUAUUAGUAAUGAUUAGUUUACCGUUUUGUUUGUUGUAACUAACUAAAUGAUACAAGCCAUGAGUUAGAGUGUGUAUAAAUACCAAUGAUACAAUGAAAUAAAGUGUGUGCAUUUUUUACAUCAUCAAUUUUAUCUCAUCUAUAAAGUUCUCUCAAUAUAGUCAUUCAUUCUUCCAUCUUCAUCAUUAAAAGGUGUGUGUGAGUACAAUAUCAUUGUGAUCUAAAAUCAUUUUUCAACGGUGGUAUCAAGAGCAAGGAGCAAGGUUUCGUUCAUGUCAAAUGGAAAUCUUCCAAUUCUUGAUGGAAAGUAUUAUGAUAAGUGGUGCAAACAAAUGAAAGUGGUGUUUGGAUAUCAAGAUGUGUGGGAGAUAGUGAAGUCAAGUGUUGAUUCUCUCGUUGAAAAUCCUUUAGAAGUGCAAAAGACUGCACGUAAGGAAUCCAAGAAGAAAUAUAUCAAGGCAUUGUUCAUUAUCUAUCAGUAUGUUGAUGCUGCGAACUUUGAAAUAGUUGGUGAAGUUGAAUCAUCAAAAGUUGCUUGGGAAAAUUUAGAGAAACCUUAUGCCGAAGAUGGAAAGGUGAGGUUACAAACUCAAAAGCGACAAUAUGAAUUACUUCAAAUGAAAGAAAAGGAGGAAGUUGGUGAUUUUUUCACAAGAGUGAUGACAUUGGUGAAUCAAAUCAAAAAUUGUGGCGAGAGUGUUACUGACCAAUCUGUAGUAGAGAAGAUUUUGAGAUCUUUAUUGCCAAAGUUUGAUCAUGUGAUGGUGGCCAUUGAAAAAUCAAAGAAUCUUGCAUACAUGAGCAUUCAAGAACUGCAAGGAUCCCUUGAAGCACAUGAACAAAGAAUGAAAGAGGGCAUUGGUGAGAUAACUUAGAAAUCGUGCUUAACCAAUUAUAAUUUUUAGAAAUCGUGCUUAAGCUUGUAUAACCAGUCCUUUUGUGUCAAAUCCAUUUAUCAUUUUCAAUAGUCAUAAAACAAGAUUCAAUAGGCAAAUCAUUCAGAUAUAAUUCAUAUAACUUUUUUUUCUUUCUAAUUCAUGAGAAAAAUACUUUUCUAGAGGAUGAAUAUUUAACCUCGCACAAAGUGUGUUUAAAAAUUACUUCGAAUCCACCAUCACAUAGUUGGCUAAUAUUCAACAAGUUAUGUUUUAAAUCAUCCACAUAUUGAACAUUUUCAAUCUUGGCAUAAUUAUUUUUUCCAAUAAUAUAUGUUUCUUUAAUUUGUGCUUUAUCAUUAUUUUCAAAAGUGAUUGAUCCUUCAUCCUUUAUCACCAAGGAAAUAAAUCAAUGUUUAUCUCAUGUCAUAUGUCUUCAGCAUGCACUCUCCAAGAACCAAUGCUUUCUUUUGUUGAUCAGAGGAUGUACAUGUGUUAGAGUUUAAAAGUGACUUAGGUACUCAUAUAGAAUUGGAUCCUUGUUAGUUAGUUUUUCCUUUUGUAAGAAUUUUCUUUUGGUGAUAGCACGUAGAGUCACGAUGCCCAUGUUUACCACAAAACGAGCAUCCUCUUUUGAUAUUGUCAUUUCUUUUCUUGACAUGAUUGAUGAUGUGUCUUGGUUUUUUGCAAUAAGUACAUUUUGGUAUAUCCUCCUGUUUUUUAGGUAGAAAAAAUUUUCGUAUAAUUUUUGCUUUUGAGAGCUUUUGAAUCCAAUAUCAGCCUUGUCAAAUAUUACAGAUUGAGAUCCUAUAAUUUUUUGAAAAGUCUCAGUGGAUUUGACAAAAAUGGUAAUGUCGUUUUUAAGUUCUUCAACCACUAAUUUUAAGUGCUCAUUUUCAGUUUCCUCUUCUGGAGGAUGAAUAUUGACAUUUCUCUUGUUCAAAAUAUUUUGUUGCUCAGACAAUUUCUUAUGAGAUAGCUGCAAGUCCAGAUGAUUUUUUUUUAUAUUUAUCAUUCUUAGAGAAAGAGAGAGAGAGAGAGAUGUCAAAAUAAUCUCAAAACAUAUAAUGCACUUAUACAUAAUGUCAAAAUGUACUUAUACGUAAUUUAUGCUUCUAAAACUAUAUGAUCCGUAUAUAAAUCUGCUAUGAAGACAACUUCCACACAAAAAUCACCAAUACCAAUUGGAAAAAUAAACAGGUGACAUAAUGAUAUAUUAUCAAAAAAGUAUAUUCCUACACAACUCACUAAGAUCAUAUCAUAUGCAUUAAAAAAAAUCACUUUUUUAAAUCAUCAUCUUAUUCACAGAUCACUAAGAUCAUAUACCACACAUCCUUAUAAUCAUAAAAAUUAUAAUUUUCACCAUACACAUAAAAAUCAAAACUUCAACUCAUAUACAUCAUCAAAGUUAAAACUUUAUAAUGUCACGUUUCAACAUUAAUUCUUGGAUAAUAAUAAUAACAUUCAAAAUUGAAAACCGAGAGAGAGAGAGAGAGGGAGAGAGAGAGAGAAAGAAAGAGAGAGAGAGAGAGAGAGAGAAAGAGAAAGAGAAAGAGAGAGAGAGAGAGAGAAAGAAAGAGAAAGAGAGAGAGAGUUGUCAAAAUAAUCUCAAAUCACAAAGACCUCAUUUAUUAAACAAAUUUAAGAGCCCCAAAUUUUAAGCUUCUCUUAACAAGUGUUUUUGUUGUGGCCCCAACCCACUAUUUUUUAGUUUUUUGUGGACCUGGGCCAAAGGGCCUCAUGGCCCAUUUUAUGUUUUCAAUUUUUCACAAUCUAAACUUCAUUGUUUUUCGCCAUCGUCACGGCUCGACCUUCUUGUCUUCGUUGUUACAUGUAAUAUUGUGACGUGUGUGAUACUGUGAUGUUUAGAUAAUGACUCUUAAUGAGUUUUGGUUCAUAAACGACAUUGUUUUGCUACUAUAUGAUUUAAAAGUAUUAUUUAGAUUUUUCAUUGGAUUCUAUCGUGUUACAAAUCUUGCAGUAGUGUGGUGUAUGAUUGAAGUAUCCAUAUUUGAUGGUUUAGGUUUUGGAUCCUUUUGAAUUUGGAGUUAUGAUCCGUGCCCGCAACACUUUGUUUUUGCUUCUUUGUUAUCUAAUUAGAAAUUGUAUAGUUUUCGUUCUAUUUUUACACGCUUAAUUGUAGGUUGCUUCGUUAGUUUCACUGAUCUCUAGUUCUAUUGCAGGUUGCUUCAAUGUUAUUGACAAUGUUUUAUUUGUUUCAUUGAUCUCGAUUCUUCAAUUCCUUCUCUUGAGUUCUAUUGCAGGUUGUUUCAAUGUUAUUGACUAUGUUUUAUUAGAUUGUAAGUGGGCAACUUUUGUCUUAUUUUUCUUUAAUUUUCUUUACGCUGAUUUCUUUUGUGAAGUAUCAAAACUGCCUCAUAACAAUUCUAUUUUUACAGCUUCGUUGCUAUUCUUUUGAUAUGAUCUUUACUGAUCAAUUCUUGUUAGAAACCCUAUUAUUUUAACCAUUUGGUAUACGAGAAAAAUAGAUCAAAUAAAAGAGAAAGAAUCGAAAGUAAAAAGAGAAUUAAGAUUAUUUUUAAAAUGACAAAAAUAUCUAAUAAACAAAUUAAUUGUAAUAAUCAACUCAUUUAAAGGAAUUAAAUAAAUUUAAGUUAACUCAAUUGUUUAAAUUUAUUUAUUUAUAAUUUUUAUUUUAAAAUAACUAAUUUAUAUCUGACUCGGGCCUUGUUUUAUUAUUCUCGGACACCAUUCCGCUUCUCCCGCAUCAUCCACUUUUUAUAUUUUCAUUACUUUCUUUGUUUGGUCUGAAACUAGACCCAUUUGUGCAAAAAAAGAAACCCUAGGGACGUUGAAAUUUUGAACUACACCACCUUGACCUUUCUACUCUGCUAAUCCAAACAGCAGCAACUACGAACUCAGCACCAUGUCAAAGCAAAUAAAAUUAUAGAAAAUAAAUUAAAUACUUAAAAUUAUAUUUUAAGAUAAACAAUCUAAACUAAUUUUUUAUUUGAAAUUUUAUAUCUAUUUGUUUUUCUUUAAUGUGAAAAUAAAUAAAAUAUUAUAAAAAUAUUAUAAAUAUUUUUUAAACAAAGGGAUCCAAUAUCAGAGGUAAUUUCCUCCACCAGAUAAUUUUUCCAUAGCCAUGUAAAGAUUUGAUGUUCCUUUGCCCCAUAACUUCUCUCAAUUUCCUCACUCCCUCACUAUUUUAUUUCUAUCUUUUCUCCUAAUAAACUUCCUACCACAUGCAUCAUUUUUAAUUUAUUAAAUUAAAUUGAAUGUCACAUGAAUCAAAGAAGUUCUAUUACUUUUUAUUGUAUUUUCUUACAAUUUUUUUAUCGAUAGAUUAGUCAUACUAAAAACUAACAUUCACAUAGAAAUAUCUAUAAUUUAUAUUUUUAAAUAAAUUUAUAUCUUUAUCUUCAACAAUAACAAUAACAAUAACAAUAACACCAAAUAAAAAAUUUAUACUUUUAGAUUUAAUUUACAAAUCAUUAAGAUAAUUAAUAUCUUUAUUUUUUUUAAUCAUUUAAAAUGUGAAUUCUUUAUUUGAUUGAUUUGAUGUUGUUGUUGGAGAUGAAAAUAUGAGUUUUUUUUAAGAUUUGAAUUAAUUAUUUGAUGAAAAUUUGAGUUGUGUUAAAGAUGGUAAUUAAUUUUCUUAGUUUUGUUUGAAAAAUAUUAUAAAUUUUUUGGAUUUAUGUAAAAAAAAAUUAUUAUUGAUAUUUUAAAAUAUAAAUAGUCAAAUUAUUAUUUAAAAUUAAAUUAAGAUCAAAUCAAAAACAAAAAAAUAAAUAAAUAAUUAAACUAUUAGCUAAAAUAUAAUGAGGGAAGGGCCGAGGCCCAUGUCUGCCCCACCGCCCACCCUGAAUUUGUCUCUGAUUGUACUUGUGGGUACUCACUUUUUUUUUCCUAUUAUUUAAUUACGAACGAAAUUAGCUUUCCUUUUUAAUAUAAUAAUAAAAAAUUUAUUUGUCUAUUUGAAUUUAUUUAUUAUCGUAAUCGAAUACAAUAUUUUAUUUUUUAAAUUUUUCGUGUGAUUUUAUAUUGUAAAUUAAAUAAUUUAACUCUUUUAAUUAAAUUAUAUAAAAAAAAUAUUAUGUUUCUAUAUACUUACUUGUACCUUGAUUUUUUUUGAAAUAAGGUAUUCUCGGACUAAUACCCUGAUAUUAUAUUUAUAUUCAUGCAUCAUGAAUUGUAAAUUUAAUUGUCUUAGUUAAGUUAAAUAAAUAAAAAUUCAUGUUUUUAUUGAUGUACCCGAACUUAAUUUUUUUAUCAAUAAAAUGUCGUAUUUAGUAUUCUGUAUUAAUACAUUACCUAUCUAUUAUAGGAUAUGGGUGAUGGAUGACAUGUGGUUCCAGAUCAAGUGAGUAAACAAAAAUUAAAUCAUAAUUGUAGAUUUUAAUCCAAAAUGUUUAAUCUAUCGUUAUAAUUUAUCAUUUAAGUUGUUCUCUAUAAAUAUUAACAGAGUUAAUUAUAAUUUUAAUUAUUUAUUUUUUAUUUAAUAAUUGUUUAUUAGAGUUUAUUGUAAUUUUAAUCUAUUCUUAUUAAAAUUGCACACUUUAUUUUAUAAUUGAUUUCAUUUUUUAUCGCUAUAAUUUAUGACAAUAAUUAUAUAUAUUUUUUAAAUAGUUAUGGUAAAAAUAUUUAAAAUACAUCACUUAUAAAAGAUAAAUGACAAAAAAAAGAUAAAUAAUCAAAAUGAAUAUUAAAUAAAAAAUAAAAUAUAUAUUUAAAUUUUAUUAAUAUUUAAGAUAAUAAUUUUCUUCCGUAAGAUAAUUUUUUUAUGAUGAGAUAAAAGUAAAUAUUUGGUUAAAUAGUUAAGUAAAAUUAUAAUAAGUAUGAUAGAAACUAAAUGUAUAAAUUUCCUAUUUACAAAAAAUAUCGAGUUUAUAUAUUGAGUUUUAAUUUAAAGUUGUUAAGUAAUAUUAAAUAUAGUUAAAUCUAAUACACUAAAUAAUAUUGGGAUUAAUUUAAAUUUUAUUAAAUAUUCAAUUAAAUAUAUUUAAUAACAUUGAUAUUCAUUUACAUGAUUAAUGUCAGUUUGAUUGCAAAAAUAUAAUAUUUUCAAAUGAGUAAUUUGCAAUUUAAAAUUUAUGGCUAUGUUUCAAAAAAAAAUGAAAUGUCUUUUUUCGUUUAUAUGAAAAUGCAUUCUAAAAUUAACUUAAUUGUGUAAGAUAAUACAAUGCACAAAGUAAAGAGAGCAAGGAAUAAAUCUCGUUCGACGGGAGGGCCUCCUAAAAGCCUUUUAGAUAAUUCUUUAUUAUUGAUACUCCCUUUCUUACAUUUAUAGUACCCUAGCUAUUCUAAUCUUUUAAAUAAAAUUAAAUGUAUUAAUUUUACACUUUAAAAUUAAUUGUAUUCUUUGGUAAAUUUAGUAUUCUAUAUGCACACUCAAAUAUAAAUAUUUUUCGAAAGAGCACUAUUGCUGACUUGGCAAAUCUUUCAUUAUAUUCCAAUUAUUGAUGUCAUUGAACCUAAGCAUUUUGACACAUAUUCAUUUCUAUUAUACCAACAAAAAAAUCAACACAUAUUCUCACGUAACAUCUAAUUGAGAAUUUGAGAUGCACAUCAUAUUCUGUACUUAUCCCUUUUUUGUGCUGACAAUACUUAUCCUUUUAGCUCGUUACAAUAAACACUUAUUUUAUUAUUACACUUGGUAAAUGACACUUGCAAAUCCAACCAUUAGUGCAUCCAAACUUUGCCUCGUUGAUUACCCAAAAUAGAAGGUAAACGACCAAACACCCACGCCCCGAAAACUCACGCGUAGGACCACUCAACUUUUGGAUGACAUUUUUCUACCAAAAAAUACUUUGGAUAAGAUUUUCAUUUUUUUCCAGUAGAUUUUAUCAUUUUCUUUUCUUGUGAUUUUAUCUAUUUUUUAAUAAUUUUUUUAAUUUUUUAAUUUAUUUAAAAGUUUAUAUUAUAUAAAUUAUAUAUAUAUAUAUAUAAUUUUAUACAAAUUUAAAAUCAUUUUAUAUAUUAUUAAGAUAUAUCAAAGUUAACGUCUUAUACAUUUUUAUUGAAGAUUAUUAAUUGUUAUAAGUCUUAAUAACUAUCGUAUAAUUUUAAAUUUAUAUAAUUUUUAUCUGAAAAAAAUAAAAAAAAAUAAACAUGAUUGAAGGAGAUUUAUAUUCAAAUAAUUUAAAAAAAAUUUCACAAUAAAAAUUAUAGAGUUCAAAUUUUACUUUUAUUUAAAAAAAAUCGUUAAACUAAAAGUUUAUAUUAUAUAGAUCAUAUAUAUAAAAUUUUACACAAAUAUAAAAUCAUUUGAUAUGUUAUUAAGAUUCAUAAGAUUGAUGAUGUUUAAUAAAAAUGCAUAUAAUGUUUUUUUAUUAUAUCUCAAUAAUAAAUUAAAUAAUUUUAUAUUUAUAUAAAAUCAUUAAUUUUCACAAAUUUUAAUAGACAAAUUAAAUAAUUUUAUGUUUGUGUUUUAUUUAGAUAGAUCUAUACAGCGAUGAACUGAUGGACACAUGGGAAGGCACCCCAUGGCUCUAGCCUACGUCCAUGCCAUAUAAGGCAUAAAGAAAACGCUGCUUUUAUAAUAAUAAAAACAAAUAGCAUGCUUAAUAAAUCAAUAAAAUUAACAAUUAGGAUUUUUUUCCUGUGUUUUAUUUUAUUUUAUAAAUGUUGAUCUGAUUUUUAUGAUUAAGAAGAAAAAAUAAUAAUAUAAAAUUUGUCCUUUAUUAGUUUUAGUUUUAAUUUUAAGAUUAUAUUAGUUUAAUAACUAUGUAAUAUUAAAAUAAAUUAUAAAAAAUCAACAUUACAUUAGUCUGAAUAAAAUUAUAUUUGAAUAUAACAUUUCGAUUCAAAUCGAUUUUUUUUAUAGAAAAAUAUAAAAUUGUCAGCUUAGUCUUUAUUUUUCCUAAUAUUUUAUUUCUUUAAUUUAUAUUUUGACAUUAUUCCUGCUAUUUGGAAGUGAUAAAAAUAUUUAUUAAUCUUUUUUUUAAAAGAAUUAUCCACACAAACCUCUAAGUCAAAUUCAGAAAAGUUCAAAUGAAAAAAAUUAGAACAACAAAUGUUCAAAUUAAAAAUAAAAAUAAAAUAACCAUACCAAGAACAAGAACAACUAAAUCAAUGAAAGUAUUAGAAACAUAUGUUAGAGAAGACGAUAAAUAAAACGAAUAAAUAUUAAGAAGGAAAAUCACUUACAUGAACUGAACAAAUAACAUAAUUAAAUGAAGAGAGUCGCACAAUAAACAAGAGGAAGGAAGAAAAUAUUUUCACCAAAUGAGCAGUUUUCCAAAUAAAAAAUGAUAGAAGAAGUUAGGGUUUUAAACAAAAAUUGGAGAUUUUUAAGCAAAAAUAUAUGUUGUAAAUGGAUCAUUCUCCAAUCUGAAAAUUGUUACACAAAAAACACAAACCCCCCACUAGAGAGAAAGAAAUUGAAGAAAAAAGUUGAUAAACAUUAAGUAAGAUCAAUAACAAGAAAGAUGUAUACCUUGAUUCAAGAGAUAAAUGGAGGGUGGUAUCGUGAAGAUUGCAUGUGAAUGAGAUUGUUGGCGGCGGUCGAUGAGGUUGCUCGUUGAAGGAAGGAGUUAGUGGUGGAGCUAAUUGCAAACGAUGGACGACAAGGUUGCUCGCGGUUUGCGGAUAGACGUGUCGGCGUUAGACAAAGGGGUUGACAACAAAUGGAGUAUUUGAAGCAACUCUCGCAAACAAAUUGAGGGUUUGAAGGAUUUUGCAGCGAAAAUGAAAAAUUAUUGUUUUGAGGCGGGACUAUGAAAUGAAAUAGAAUAGUUUUGAGAAAUUUUUUAUUUUC